AGAGUUUGAUCCUGGCUCAGAGCGAACGNNNNNCGGCAGGCCUAACACAUGCAAGUCGAGCGGGCACCUUCGGGUGUCAGCGGCAGACGGGUGAGUAACGCGUGGGAACGUGCCCUUUGGUUCGGAACAACUCCGGGAAACUGGAGCUAAUACCGGAUAAGCCCUUCGGGGGAAAGAUUUAUCGCCAAAGGAUCGGCCCGCGUCUGAUUAGCUAGUUGGUAGGGUAAUGGCCUACCAAGGCGACGAUCAGUAGCUGGUCUGAGAGGAUGAUCAGCCACACUGGGACUGAGACACGGCCCAGACUCCUACGGGAGGCAGCAGUGGGGAAUAUUGGACAAUGGGCGCAAGCCUGAUCCAGCCAUGCCGCGUGAGUGAUGAAGGCCUUAGGGUUGUAAAGCUCUUUCACCCACGACGAUAAUGACGGUAGUGGGAGAAGAAGCCCCGGCUAACUUCGUGCAGCAGCCGCGGUAAUACGAAGGGGGCUAGCGUUGCUCGGAAUCACUGGGCGUAAAGGGCGCGUAGGCGGCCGAUCAAGUCAGGGGUGAAAGCCUGUGGCUCAACCACAGAAUUGCCUUUGAUACUGUUCGGCUCGAGACCGGAAGAGGUUGGUGGAACUGCGAGUGUAGAGGUGAAAUUCGUAGAUAUUCGCAAGAACACCAGUGGCGAAGGCGGCCAACUGGUCCGGUUCUGNNGCUGAGGCGCGAAAGCGUGGGGAGCAAACAGGAUUAGAUACCCUAGUAGUCC
rnacentral:rRNA from 1 species